rnacentral:rRNA from 1 species
UACGAAGGGGGCUAGCGUUGUUCGGAAUUACUGGGCGUAAGCGCGCGCAGGCGGUCCUUCAAGUCAGAGGUGAAAGCCCAGAGCUCAACUCUGGAACGGCCUUUGAGACUAGAGGACUUGGGUACGGGAGAGGUGAGUGGAAUUCCGAGUGUAGAGGUGAAAUCGUAGAUAUUCGGAAGAACACCAGUGGCGAAGGCGGCUCACUGGCCCGUUACCGACGCUCAGGCGCGACAGCGUGGGGAGCAACAGG